rnacentral:rRNA from 1 species
CAGAGGUUACUGCUAUCGAGAUUCGACUAASCCAUGCGAGUUGAAUGUUCUUCGUGAACAUGGCGGACUGCUCAGUAACACGUGGACAACCUACCCUUGGGUCCGGCAUAAUCCUGGGAAACUGGGAAUAAUUCCGGAUAGGUCACCGAUGCUGGAAUGCGCGGUGGCCGAAAGCUCCGGCGCCCGAGGAUGGGUCUGCGGCCUAUCAGGGUUGUAGUGGGUGUAACGUACCUACUAGCCUACGACGGGUACGGGUUGUGAGAGCAAGAGCCCGGAGAUGGAUUCUGAGACACGAAUCCAGGCCCUACGGGGUGCAGCAGGCGCGAAAACUUUACAAUGCGGGAAACCGUGAUAAGGGGAUCUCGAGUGCCAGCAUAUAAUGUUGGCUGUCCAGAUGCCUAAAAAGCAUCUGUUAGCAAGGGCCGGGCAAGACCGGUGCCAGCCGCCGCGGUAACACCGGCGGCCCGAGUGGUAACCGCUAUUAUUGGGUCUAAAGGGUCUGUAGCCGGCCAGGUAAGUCCCUUGGGAAAUCUGGCAGCUCAACUGUCAGGCUGCUAGGGGAUACUGUUUGGCUUGGGACCGGGAGAGGUGAGAGGUACCUUGGGGGUAGGGGUGAAAUCUUGUGAUCCUCGAGGGACCACCAGUGGCGAAGGCGUCUCACCAGAACGGGUCCGACGGUAAGGGACGAAAGCUAGGGGCACGAACCGGAUUAGAUACCCGGGUAGUCCUAGCCGUAAACGAUGCUCGCUAGGUGUCAGUCACGGUGCGACCGUGAUUGGUGCCGUAGGGAAGCCGUGAAGCGAGCCACCUGGGAAGUAUGGCCGCAAGGCUGAAACUUAAAGGAAUUGGCGGGGSAGCACUACARCGGGUGGAGCCUGCGGUUUAUUG